CCUACGGGUGGCAGCAGUGAGGAAUAUUGGUCAAUGGGCGCGAGCCUGAACCAGCCAAGUAGCGUGAAGGAUGACUGCCCUACGGGUUGUAAACUUCUUUUAUAAAGGGAUAAAGUGAGGCACGUGUGCCUUUUUGUAUGUACUUUAUGAAUAAGGAUCGGCUAACUCCGUGCCAGCAGCCGCGGUAAUACGGAGGAUCCGAGCGUUAUCCGGAUUUAUUGGGUUUAAAGGGAGCGUAGAUGGGUUGUUAAGUCAGUUGUGAAAGUUUGGGGCUCAACCGUAAAAUUGCAAUUGAUACUGGCAGCCUUGAGUACAGUUGAGGUAGGCGGAAUGCGUGGUGUAGCGGUGAAAUGCUUAGAGAUCACGAAGAACUCCGAUUGCGAAGGCAGCUUACGAAACUGCCACUGACAUUGAGGCUCGAAAGUGUGGGGAUCAAACAGGAUUAGAUACCCCUGUAGUC
rnacentral:rRNA from 1 species